rnacentral:rRNA from 1 species
GACGAACGCUGGCGGCGUGCCUAAUACAUGCAAGUAGAACGCAGUUGCGAACGGGUGAGUAAUGCGUAGGUAACUGCCUCAUAGCGGGGGAUAACUAUUGGAAACUAUAGCUAAUACCGCAUACUGUGAGAUGGACCUGCGUUGUAUUAGCUAGUUGGUGAGGUAAAGGCUCACCAAGGCGACGAUACAUAGCCGACCUGAGAGGGAGAGCGGAGACACGGGGACUGAGACAAGGCCCAGACUCAUACGGGAGGCAGCAGUAGGGAAUCUGCGGCAAGGGACGGAAGUCGGACAGAGCAACGACGCGUGAGUGAAGAAGGUUUUCGGAUCGUAAAGCUCUGGUGUGAGAGAAGCGGUAACUAACAAGAAAGGGACGGCUAACUACGUGCCAGCAGCCGAGGUAAUUC